rnacentral:rRNA from 1 species
GACGAACCGUGCGAACGUUAUUCGGAAUCACUGGGCUUAAAGCGCGUGUAGGCGGGACGGCACGUCUGUCGCUGAAAUCCCCCGGCUUAACCGGGGAACUGGCGUAGAUACGACCGUCCUGGAGGGGCGUAGGGGGACCUGGAACUUCCGGUGGAGCGGUGAAAUGCGUUGAGAUCGGAAGGAACGCCCGUGGCGAAAGCGAGGUCCUGGACGCCUACUGACGCUGAGACGCGAAAGCCAGGGAAGCGAACGGG